UACGUAGGGAGCAAGCGUUGUUCGGAUUUACUGGGCGUAAAGGGCGCGUAGGCGGCGCGGUAAGUCACUUGUGAAAUCUCUGAGCUUAACUCAGAACGGCCAAGUGAUACUGCAGUGCUAGAGUGCAGAAGGGGCAAUCGGAAUUCUUGGUGUAGCGGUGAAAUGCGUAGAUAUCGAGAGGAACACCUGCGGCGAAGGCGGGUUGCUGGGCCGACACUGACGCUGAUGCGCGAAAGCCAGGGGAGCGAACGGG
rnacentral:rRNA from 1 species